UGAUAAUGGAAGGACUAAAGGUGUUAAAACUAAAACUAAUAAUAAUAAAAACAAGGUUUAAACACCAAACACACUAAAAGAAGUGUGUCUGGUCGAUCUAAACAUCAGGAGCGAACAGGAGCUUCCCCACCAAACCCUAACUUGUGCAAAUUGAUCAAAUUGGGGCUUCAAAUCAGUUCCAAAUCGAUUUCCAAGCACGAAAUUGUCAUCUCCAUUGAAAAGGGAGUCAUAAGUUUGAUCUCGUCAAGCUAAGUGGGAGCUGGAAAGGAUUGGAUCAAACGGGUCAAGUGCGCAAGGAAAGCUCGAACGGACGCAAACUAUAAGAACGAAUAGAAAUUUGGAUAAUUACGUCAUCAUAGAAUAUUGAAUUAAUAAUAGCAAGGCAUAAACGGGUCUAUACGUUGACUCGAGCCAGGUACGCUUAUAUAUAGAUUUAUAGUUAAAAGUGUUUAACUUCCCUUCACGGGUCAAAAGGAGUAGAUAGGUAAAACGGGUUAAGAAUUCAUAAGAAACCCGUAAUUUGAACCUUGCACAUUAGUAAACUGAUAUAACGUGAUAUGCAUGAUAUUUUGAAAAGGGUAAUAAACAAGUUUGUUUGAUAAAUCACGAACGGGUCAAAAAGUGUCAUAAUUGAAUUUCAAGCUGAGAGCUUGAAAGUUAAAAUUUUGUGAAUUCAGAUGUUGGAUUUUAACUCCAUAUGAUAGAGGAUCAAAUUACAAUCACGUACAUUUUGGAUGCCGGAAGACGAUCAAGCUCAACGAAGAACCGAACACGAAUAAGAUAAA
rnacentral:lncRNA from 1 species